rnacentral:rRNA from 1 species
UACGUAGGGUGCAAGCGUUGUCCGGAAUUAUUGGGCGUAAAGAGCUCGGUAGGCGGUCUGUCGCGUCGGCUGUGAAAACUCGGGGCUCAACCCCGAGCCUGCAGUCGAUACGGGCAGACUAGAGUGCUGUAGGGGAGACUGGAAUUCCUGGUGUAGCGGUGAAAUGCGCAGAUAAUCAGGAGGAACACCGGUGGCGAAGGCGGGUCUCUGGGCAGUGAACUGACGCUGGAGGAGCGAAAGCGUGGG